rnacentral:rRNA from 1 species
CUACGGGGCGCUGCAGUGGGGAAUAUUGGACAAUGGGCGAAAGCCUGAUCCAGCAAUGCCGCGUGUGUGAAGAAGGCCUGAGGGUUGUAAAGCACUUUCAGUAGUGAGGAAAUGUUUAAGGUUAAUACCCUUGAAUCUUGACGUUAACUACAGAAGAAGCACCGGCUAACUCCGUGCCAGCAGCCGCGGUAAUACGGAGGGUGCAAGCGGUAAUCGGAAUUACUCGGCGUAAAGCGCGCGUAGGCGGUUUGGUCAGUCAGAUGUGAAAGCCCCGGGCUCAACCUGGGAAUUGCAUUUGAUACUGCUAAACUAGAAUGUGGUAGAGGGAAGUGGAAUUCCAGGUGUAGCGGUGAAAUGCGUAGAGAUCUGGAGGAACAUCAGUGGCGAAGGCGGCUUCCUGGACCAACAUUGACGCUGAGGUGCGAAAGCGUGGGUAGCAAACAGGAUUAGAUACCCGCGUAGUC